rnacentral:rRNA from 1 species
GACGAACGCUGGCGGCGUGCUUAACACAUGCCAGUCGAACGGAAAGGCCCUGCUUUUGUGGGGUGCUCGAGUGGCGAACGGGUGAGUAACACGUGAGUAACCUGCCCUUGACUUUGGGAUAACUUCAGGAAACUGGGGCUAAUACCGGAUAGGAGCUCCUGCUGCAUGGUGGGGGUUGGAAAGUUUCGGCGGUUGGGGAUGGACUCGCGGCUUAUCAGCUUGUUGGUGGGGUAGUGGCUUACCAAGGCUUUGACGGGUAGCCGGCCUGAGAGGGUGACCGGCCACAUUGGGACUGAGAUACGGCCCAGACUCCUACGGGAGGCAGCAGUGCGGAAUAUUGCACAAUGGGCGGAAGCCUGAUGCAGCAACGCCGCGUGCGGGAUGACGGCCUUCGGGUUGUAAACCGCUUUCGCCUGUGACGAAGCGUGAGUGACGGUAAUGGGUAAAGAAGCACCGGCUAACUACGUG